UACAGAGGGGGCGAGCGUUGUUCGGAAUUACUGGGCGUAAAGGGCGCGUAGGCGGCCUUCUAAGUCAGACGUGAAAUCCCUCGGCUUAACCGGGGAACUGCGCAUGAUACUGGAUGGCUUGAGUUUGGGAGAGGGAUGCGGAAUUCCAGGUGUAGCGGUGAAAUGCGUAGAUAUCUGGAGGAACACCGGUGGCGAAGGCGGCAUCCUGGACCAACACUGACACUGAGGAGCGAAAGCCAGGGGAGCAAACGGG
rnacentral:rRNA from 1 species